rnacentral:misc_RNA from 1 species
AACGCAUCUUGCACCCUUUGGUAUUCCUUAGGGCAUGUCUGUCUGAGUGUCGUUUAAAUCUCAAACCCGCCCUUUGGCUUUCGAGCUUUGGGGUGGCUGCUUCGGCGGCUAGGUUUGGUUCGUGAGCGUCUGUCGGCUUUGUUCGGCUCGCUUCAAAAUCGUAGGCGACAUCUGGCGGCUGCACAGUAGCCCCUUUCACUUGCUGGCCUGAUAGUAAAAUUGAACGGCUGGCUCGGGCGAUUGGAGCGAAAGCGGCCUCUGCCUCUCUCGCUCGGAGAACACAGCUUUGAAAUCAAAUCUCUUUGACCUCAGAUCAGGCAGGAUUACCCGCUGAACUUAA